rnacentral:rRNA from 1 species
GAUGAACGCUGGCGGCGUGCCUAAUACAUGCAAGUCGAGCGAACAGACGAGGAGCUUGCUCCUCUGACGUUAGCGGCGGACGGGUGAGUAACACGUGGAUAGCCUACCUAUAAGACUGGGAUAACCUCGGGAAACCGGAGCUAAUACCGGAUAAUAUAUUGAACCGCAUGGUUCAAUAGUGAAAGACGGUUUUGCUGUCACUUAUAGAUGGAUCCGCGCCGCAUUAGCUAGUUGGUAAGGUAACGGCUUACCAAGGCAACGAUGCGCAGCCGACCUGAGAGGGUGAUCGGCCACACUGGAACUGAGACACGGUCCAGACUCCUACGGGAGGCAGCAGUAGGGAAUCUUCCGCAAUGGGCGAAAGCCUGACGGAGCAACGCCGCGUGAGUGAUGAAGGUCUUCGGAUCGUAAAACUCUGUUAUUAGGGAAGAACAAAUGUGUAAGUAACUAUGCACGUCUUGACGGUACCUAAUCAGAAAGCCACGGCUAACUACGUG